GGGGGCGUCACGGCUUCGACGGAAACGGUUGCGGCCAGGAGGCAUGCAGGGGCGCACACACCCUUAAUCGAGUGCAAAACCAACAGUUGCCAACACUGAACUGGCUUACGCAGCUUAAUUUUUAAGUUGCCGUUCUCCGCGGCUUCGCCUACGGGCUGCGGUCAGAACGUCGCACAGUAGGCUGGCUUAACACCCUACGUCUGGGGGAUUGAGCGAGAUCAACAGGCUAGCCAAUGGCGUUUCUUGCCGAUUCUUAGCGUCACUGGUGAACGUUGUGGCUAAUGACCACGGCAGGAAUCGAAUAAGCAUGUAGUCUCCUCGCUUUCAGCGCUUUCGGACAGGGGUUCAACUCCCCUCGCCUCCACCA
rnacentral:tmRNA from 1 species